rnacentral:rRNA from 1 species
UGCGUAGGUGGUGAGGUAAGUCGGAUGUGAAAGCUCCAAGCUCAACUUGGAAAUGGCAUUGGAAACUACCUUGCUAGAGGGUUUGAGGGGGGACUGGAAUACUUGGUGUAGCAGUGAAAUGCGUAGAUAUCAAGUGGAACACCAGUGGCGAAGGCGAGUCCCUGGAAAACUCCUGACACUGAGGCACGAAAGCUAGGGGAGCAAACA